rnacentral:tRNA from 1 species
GCGCCUGUAGCUCAGUUGGAUAGAGCAGGAGCCUUCUAAGCUCUUGGUCGGGGGUUCGAGUCCCUCCAGGCGCACCA